UCCAAAUCCAUCCCCAGCUCUCCUAGAAGAUGCAAAUCUGAUCCUGUCUACAUGGAAUGAUUCAGCGGUUCCCCAGGACUUUCCCGAAGAAGCUUAGAUACCACCAGCUCUGGCUCUUGUUGGCUUCCUCUUCCCAACUAACCACCUGGGACUCUUUGAAGCCCUGUGCCUCCACACCUUUGCACAGGCCAGGAACGUCCCAGACCGGGAGCAGAGCCUCAGCCUGACUACUACCACAGGAGUCAUGUCCUAUCUAACCAGAGCUUUGUGAAACCCGACCGAUCUUGCCCAGUUCAGAGAGGGCACGAGGAGUGGACGCACCCCCAGCAGGGCAGACCCUCGACCUUCCACCCCAGGACCCACUGUCUUCCUUUUUCUUGGUUUACUCCCUUGUUUGGAAGAAGCACAUCCUCUAGUAGCUUCCUGAGAAAGAAUGCCUGGUAGGUAACA